GAUCAAAUUCGCCUCUUUGGACAUCAGGGGAUUGAAUUCCCCACAAAAGAGAAUAAUUUCUUUUUUUUUUUGUUACUUGAGAAAGGAAUAGUUACAUGUUGGUAUAGUCCAGGAGACUCACUGGUGGCCUAGAAAGGAAUAGUUACGUGUUGGUAUAGUCCAGGAGACGCACUGGCGGCCUAGAAAGGAAUAGUUACGUGUUGGUAUAGUCCAGGAGACUCACUGGCGGCCUAGAAAGGAAUAGUUACAUGUUGGUAUAGUCCAGGAGACUCACUGGUGGCCUAGAAAGGAAUAGUUACGUGUUGGUAUAGUCCAGGAGACUCACUGGCGGCCUAGAAAGGAAUAGUUACGUGUUGGUAUAGUCCAGGAGACUCACUGGCGGCCUAGAAAGGAAUAGUUACGUGUUGGUAUAGUCCAGGAGACUCACGGGUGGCCUAGAAAGGAAUAGAUACAUGUUGGUAUAGUCCAGGAGACUCACUGGCGGCCUAGAAAGGAAUAGUUACGUGUUGGUAUAGUCCAGGAGACUCACGGGUGGCCUAGAAAGGAAUAGAUACAUGUUGGUAUAGUCCAGGAGACUCACUGGCGGCCUAGAAAGGAAUAGUUACGUGUUGGUAUAGUCCAGGAGACUCACUGGCGGCCUAGAAAGGAAUAGUUACAUGUUGGUAUAGUCCAGGAGACUCACGGGUGGCCUAGAAAGGAAUAGUUACGUGUUGGUAUAGUCCAGGAGACUCACGGGUGGCCUAGAAAGGAAUAGAUACAUGUUGGUAUAGUCCAGGAGACGCACUGGCGGCCUAGAAAGGAAUAGAUACAUGUUGGUAUAGUACAGGAGACUCACUGGUGGCCUAGAAAGGAAUAGUUACGUGUUGGUAUAGUCCAGGAGACUCA